rnacentral:rRNA from 1 species
AGAGUUUGAUCCUGGCUCAGAGCGAACGCUGGCGGCAGGCCUAACACAUGCAAGUCGAGCGCCGUAGCAAUACGGAGCGGCAGACGGGAGAGUAACACGUGGGAACGUACCCUUUGGUUCGGAACAACCCAGGGAAACUUGGGCUAAUACCGGAUAAGCCUACGGGAAGGAAUUCAUCGCCGAAGGAUCGGCCCGCGUCU